rnacentral:rRNA from 1 species
AUUGAACGCUGGCGGCAUGCCUUACACACGCAAGUCGAACGGCAGCACGGGUGCUUGCACCUGGUGGCGAGUGGCGAACGGGUGAGUAAUACAUCGGAACGUACCUUAUCGUGGGGGAUAACGCAGCGAAAGCUGUGCUAAUACCGCAUACGCCCUGAGGGGGAAAGCGGGGGAUCGAAAGACCUCGCGCGAUUAGAGCGGCCGAUGCCUGAUUAGCUUGUUGGUGGGGUAAAAGCCCACCAAGGCGACGAUCAGUAGCUGGUCUGAGAGGACGAUCAGCCACACUGGGACUGAGACACGGCCCAGACUCCUACGGGAGGCAGCAGUGGGGAAUUUUGGACAAUGGGGGCAACCCUGAUCCAGCAAUGCCGCGUGAGUGAAGAAGGCCUUCGGGUUGUAAAGCUCUUUUGGCCGGGAAGAAAUCGCACAGGCUAAUACUCUGUGUGGAUGACGGUACCGGCAUAAGAAGCACCGGCUAACUACGUGCCAGCCGCCGCAGUAA